rnacentral:lncRNA from 1 species
AAAUGAGGUAAAAUGAAUUUUUGAUUUUGUUUAAAAGUAAAAUGUCAAUUCAUUAUCAUCCUCAUUCUCUCAUUUUCAUUCCCACGGCUUUUGUUCCCACUCCUCCUUUCUAAGUUCAUUCUCAUUCAUUUAUAUUUUUAACAAGUAAAAUACUAUCUACAAAGAAUGGAAAUCAUUUUCAUUCCCUAAUUCAUAAGUAAAUCAUCAUUCUAAUAAUAGAGUUCAAAUUUUUGUAUAAAUUUAUUUUAUACAAAUCAAUAUAGUAUGAUAUAAUUAGUUUCAUUAAAUUAAGGUGAUAGAAUCAAAUUGGAUCCAAAAAAUAUCUUCGGUCCAAUUCAGAAUUUAUAUUUAUAAAAAAAUGAUAAGGUUAAUCCGAUAAAAAUCAGAAUAAGUCGGUUCAAUUCUCCGUUCAAAACUUCAAGAGUAGAUCCAACCGAAAAAUUCGAGGGAAAAAUAUGGGCACAGCAUUACGUGAGGGGAUAUAAGAGGCUCGCUUAACACGCCCUAUAUGAAAACCUUACUAAAAAUUUAACACUGCUUCUACUUCGUCGGCGCAUCGCCACCGCCCAACUUUGCGCCUUAGCCGCGCUACCUCCUUCGCCCUGGCACUAUCAAACAGCUCCAAUCAAUUAGUCCAUUGAAUCUUGAAUUUUCAAGAUUAACAAAAGUUAAAAGUAGAAGAAUAAGGGCUGGCGGCGAGAGGCUAAUACAUUAACAUUUGUAGCAGCCUAAUACCUUAUAAUUAUGAAAUAAUAACACAUUCUAAAGUAUAAAAAUAACACCUAAUAAAUAAUCUUUUUGCAUUUCAAGGGGAAAUGGUUAUGAAUAUUUUGUUAACUCUUUGAAUGGCGUAAAUGAGAAAAUGGAUGAUUAUAAAUUUGGGGGAUUGACACUUUCCCCUACAGAAAUCAACAUAUACUAUUUACCUCUCUGCUGUUU